GUUAAGUCAGAUGUGAAUCCCCGGGCCUCAACCCUGGGACUGCAUCUGAUACUGGCAGGCUUGAGUCUCGUAGAGGGGGGUAGAAUUCCAGGUGUAGCGGUGAAAUGCGUAGAGAUCUGGAGGAAUACCGGUGGCGAAGGCCGGCCCCCUGGACGAAGACUGACGCUCAGGUGCGAAAGCGUGGGGAGCAAACCAGGAUUAGAUACCCUGGUAGUCCACGCCCGUAAACGAUGUCGACUUGGAGGUUGUGCCCUUGAGGCGUGGCUUCCCGGAGCUAACGCGUUAAGUCGACCGCCUGGGGAGUACGGCCGCAAGGUUAAAACUCAAAUGAAUUGACGGGGGCCCGCACAAGCGGUGGAGCAUGUGGUUUAAUUCGAUGCAACGCGAAGAACCUUACCUGGUCUUGACAUCCACAGAACUUGGCAGAGAUGCCUUGGUGCCUUCGGGAACUGUGAGACAGGUGCUGCAUGGCUGUCGUCAGCUCGUGUUGUGAAAUGUUGGGUUAAGUCCCGCAACGAGCGCAACCCUUAUCCUUUGUUGCCAGCGGUUAGGCCGGGAACUCAAAGGAGACUGCCAGUGAUAAACUGGAGGAAGGUGGGGAUGACGUCAAGUCAUCAUGGCCCUUACGACCAGGGCUACACACGUGCUACAAUGGCAUAUACAAAGAGAAGCGACCUCGCGAGAGCAAGCGGACCUCAUAAAGUAUGUCGUAGUCCGGAUUGGAGUCUGCAACUCGACUCCAUGAAGUCGGAAUCGCUAGUAAUCGUGGAUCAGAAUGCCACGGUGAAUACGUUCCCGGGCCUUGUACACACCGCCCGUCACACCAUGGGAGUGGGUUGCAAAAGAAGUAGGUAGCUUAACCUUCGGGAGGGCGCU
rnacentral:rRNA from 1 species